CAAUAGCGUAUAUUUAAGCUGUUGCAGUUAAAAAGCUCGUAGUUGGAUUUCGGAUGGGACUUGCCGGUCCGUCGUUUCGAUGUGCACUGGCCAGUCCUAUCUUGUUGUCGGGGACUAGCUCCUGGGCUUCACUGUCCGGGACUAGGAGCUGACGAGGUUACUUUGAGUAAAUUAGAGUGUUCAAAGCAAGCCUACGCUCUGAAUACAUUAGCAUGGAAUAACACGAUAGGACUCUGGCUUAUCUUGUUGGUCUGUGAGACCAGAGUAAUGAUUAAGAGGGACAGUCGGGGGCAUUCGUAUUUCAUUGUCAGAGGUGAAAUUCUUGGAUUUAUGAAAGACGAACUUCUGCGAAAGCAUUUGUCAAGGAUGUUUUCAUUAA
rnacentral:rRNA from 1 species